UACGUAGGGUGCAGGCGUUAAUCGGAAUUACUGGGCGUAAAGCGUGCGCAGGCGGUCUGCUAAGAGAGAUGUGAAAUCCCCGGGCUUAACCUGGGAACUGCGUUGCUAACUGGCAGGCUAGAGUGUGGCAGAGGAGACUGGAAUUCCUGGUGUAGCAGUGAAAUGCGUAGAUAUCAGGAGGAAUACCGAUGGCGAAGGCAGGUCUCUGGGCUGAAACUGACGCUCAUGCACGAAAGCGUGGGGAGCAAACAGG
rnacentral:rRNA from 1 species